rnacentral:pre_miRNA from 1 species
AUCUGGUUGACGGUUUGGAAGACUAGUGAUUUUGUUGACUUGGACAUAAUUGUCGUUUCUUGUCAACUCACACUAGUUUCCCGUACUGCAUCGGAUUCAAUC